AACUGAGAGCAAGCUGUCUGUGACAUCCAUCAACCCCGCUGAUUGCCAGAAUUGAUUUGGUGGAUCUGCCUUGCUGGAAAGGUGUCCUCUUUCUUCCUGGUUCUGCUACACGUGUCUUUGCUAGAGCCACACGCUUCACCAAAGAGGAUGAAUUUUCUGGAGGGAGGAGGACAAGGAUCUAUAAAGAGUCAGGCUCUUCUGCUGGAAUAUCCAAGGCUUGUUACGUAGGUUGUCCCACCUGGUUGUGUCCCUCCCACUUGACCAUGUGCCACUUAAAGGUGGAGACUUUGUCUUUGUGU
rnacentral:snRNA from 1 species